UUCAUUCGAACCUUUAAGAGGUCUGUGGGUCUCUUGUAAAAGGACAACAUCUGCCUGUAGUUUUUUGAGUUGGUUAAAUAUUUUUAACCUCUUUUCUCUGGAGCCAGCUCCAUUUACAUUCCAUGUAACGAAUCUUAGUUCACCCAUAGAUAUGUUUGUAUAACUAGGGGUGUAUGCUGUGUGUGUGGCUUAGACAGGUGGAGAGAAUACAUCACCAGUUCAUAAAUAAAGAGAGGGAGAGAGAGAAAAAAUGCGUGGCGAGAUGCUCCCUGAGUCUGAUUAUGUGUGUGCAUAUUUACUAAUAUGAGUAGUACGCUUGACUUAAGUGUGUGUAUCCUAUACUGUGUGCGCUGUCUGUCUGAUGUAAAUGUGCUGCCGUUGAGCGCAUGAUUGUGUGUGAUCGUGCUGUGCAUAUGUGUCGAAAUAAAGUUUGUGGAUGAGUCUGGAAGCAGGUGAUCGAAGCAGUGAAAGAAAUAAAAGAAACCAAGUACAAGGGUGAGCAGCAUAAAAACAGGAGGGGGAAAAAGAGAGAAAAAAAACGAGAAGGAGAGAAGAACAAUAGCAAAAAAACCAAAAAAAAACAAACAAACAAACCCGGAAACAUUCCAAUCAUACCGUUGACGGAGAGUGACGGUGUUAAUUCUGCUAUGAAAUUAAGAUGAGCCGAUUUGAUACUGGUAAGUUAAACAGAUGUUAAUGUUAAGUUAAUGCAAGUUAGUGUGCGUGGAUAGGGAAAGGGUGUAGCGGAUUCUUAUCUGGUGUGAAGUUAAUACAGCCACGGAGUGAUGUCGGGGUCGCGGUGGAGUUGUCCGUCCACGUACAGCCGGUCCACAGCGAUGACAGCGCGGGAGCCCUUCUGGAUGAAGCUGCGUCGGAUUGGGAACAGGACCCUGCGUCGUUCCAGGAUCUCUUUGGGGAACUGGUCGUUCACGCUGAAGUCCGUUCCUUUUAAUUCCCUCCCGCGGCUUUUCACCUGUUCCUUUUGUUUGAAGUGGCCAAAUUUGGCCACAAUAGGACGUGGUCUCCCGGCGUUUGAGUUAUCUUACUGUUUUGUUUUGCUUAAUGUGCCUUAUAAUCCGGUGCACCUUAUGUAUGAAAAUGGACCCGUUCAUCGACAGUGCGCCUUAUGAUCCGAUGCGCCUUGUGGUUAGAAAAUUUCGGUAAGGUAUUUCUAUUCAACUGUGCAUGAAAAUUAUUGUCUCCUUGUAGAAGCAGCAGCCUUUGAAGGACCAGGCUCCCUGAAGAGGAUGCGGGACACUAUUGAGAGACAUGUAGAGUCAAAGAAGUACAUGUUUGAAGAGGCAAAAAAUGCCAUGUUGGAGCAGUUGAACGAUUUGAAGGAAACCGUCCUGAGGACACUGAAGGAAACCAUGAAGGAAUCCAUUGAACACUCACUCAAGACUGAGGCCUGCUCACUGCCAGAUGUUUUGGAAUAUCUUGAGAUGGUGAAGAAACGCUGUGAUGAACUUAAUGGGGGUCAAGAUGAAAAAAAGUAACCACACUGGGUAAAUCUUAAAAUGUCACAAAUUGUUUAAAAGGCUUUGAUCAUGAACUAUUUUUCUGAUUAUUUUGAACAAUGUUUUUUUUAGUGCUGUUAGCAUUAAUCACGUUAAUACGCGGUCAUCAAAGUUAACGCAAUAAACAUUUUUAAUGCACUCAACCCAUCUGUAGCACAGAAUAGACAAACUUCGGACAAACUGCCCGAAAUGCAUUGACAGAGACAUUCCAAGGAUUUUGAGUCAGUCUGCGCUCCAGAUGAGUUAAUUAUUAAUCGUGUUAGUCGUGAUGAUGGCGUUAAAGAGUUUUAAGCUGCAUGAACGCGCUAAUGCCGAGUAACCCCUCACAAGGACUAAUCUUCGUUAACUCGUUGACAGGGAUUUGCCAAUUUUGACGUGUUAACACGGAUCAGUUCACUUUAACGAGAUUAACGGUGACAGCACUAGUUUUUAUUUAAAUAUAACUGAUCCAUCCAGCAGCCAUUUGUUAUUUGCGCCACAGAAACAGCUGAGGCCUGAUAACCCACAGGACAUCCCUGAGGAAACACUGAUUAGAGACACGAGGUCUUUACAUAUUAUCACAGUAAUAUUUGUUUUGCUCUCUUUUAAUGUUGUGUUGAUGUGUACUUUUGACUUUUAAUUAAUUUUAUACAAAAAGCAUUUUGAAUAUUAUAGAUGUCAAUUAAAACUGCUAAUAUUAAGGUAUUAAUCACGAGGGUCUAAAUCAUGUUUUGAUUUCUUUCUUUUUAAAAAUUUGUAGUAGUUUUUAAUCACUUAUAGCAGAGUGUGAAGAAAUGUAAUGCAUUCCCCAUUUAAACCUGAGAUUUAUGGUUUUAAUUGUAAGAGUCUGAGAUUACAGUUUCCAAACGCGUUUUGAUUGUGUUGCUUGUUUUAAAUAUCAUAAUUUAAUGUUUUAAGUUGAUGUGUAUACUGUGGGUUCAUUGGGACGGGAACAUUUAUUUUAAUGUAAGUGUUUAUCAGUUAAACACUGAGCCUUAUCCAGCACCGAAAAGGUACCAAUUUUACAUCACAGUUCUAAUGACAAAUACUUGUUUGUUGCAGUUAUACAAUAUGUGUACAUGACAAAUAGUGAGAAAUAGGUGUAAGUAAAGCUGUAGGAAAUCAUCAGCUACUUCUGUCAUCUCCCUGCCAUUUAGAUUUUUCUGGGUUUGGAAUUAUUGGUGAAUAUAUUACAGUUUGAGUUUAGGUUCAGGGUUGUUUCUUUGUUAUUUUUUGUUAUGUUAAAUGUUUAACAUUUUAAUUACUUCUGUGCAUAUUGUUAAAUUCCUGUUUUGAUUUUUGUCGUCAGUAAAAAAAUCAAAACAGGAAGAAAUAAAAUCUCCACCCACCAGACUUUAUUUCUUCCUGAAACAGUUCAUUCACAUUUAGCAUUUACUGUCAUGUUUCCUGUAACCUUAUUUUAGUAAUGUCAUUACAAAAAAUGACUUUGUUGAUUUUUAAAAAUGCUCAGGAAAGGUACUAAAGUGCUUCCUUUAUUACCUCCUUUAACAUACAGGAUUAGGACACUGGUGAAACAAAAAUAUUUACAUCUCAUAAUUUUAAGUGAGAGACCAUGCAGGUGUUGAAGAAAAAGAUUAACAACACUGAGAUUGUGGCAUAGAGCAUUUAAAUGUUAAUUAAUCCAGCACACUGUGAUGCAGCUAGUAUAUCAUUUAGCUUUCUUGCUUCCUUAUCUGUACUGAUUCUAAAAGAAUGCAUGUAUUUGAUAUUGUAUACUGUUCAAUAAAUCUUACGUGCAAGCAAA